GACAGAGGGUGCAAACGUUGUUCGGAAUUACUGGGCGUAAAGCGCGUGUAGGCGGCCAUCUAAGUCGGGCGUGAAAUCCCACGGCUCAACCUCGAGCUGUCGGCGGAAACCAUCUGGCUAGAGUCCGGAAGAGGAGAGUGGAAUUCCUGGUGUAGCGGUGAAAUGCGCAGAUAUCAGGAAGAACACCUAUGGCGAAGGCAGCUCUCUGGGACGGUACUGACGCUGAGACGCGAAAGCGUGGGGAGCGAACAGG
rnacentral:rRNA from 1 species